UCCCACGCCACAGCAAACCUCCUGGUGCAGGAAAGCCCGUUCCUCCAUCUCUCUCUCCCUCUCUCCCCCCGCCACGGCUGCACCCUUUCUCAGCACCAUCACAGACCCUGCGCUCCCUUUAAAGAAAGAGGAGGAGCAAAAUGAAGAUGAAUUUACCGCAGUGGAUUUUAUAAUGAACUCUCGCAUCCAGUUCAAAGACGAGUGUUUGUUGGCAAGACAGUGCAGAGCUUCUGGGCCUAACAGGAGGGCGAAGUAGUUCCAGGACGAAAGAAACUCGAGACCCUGCCGCUGCCAGAGAAAAACUACUCGCAUUACUCACCCUGCCCAGUCGCUCCGUCCCUUCCCCGCCCUCCUGGCUUGUGCCAUGCAAAACUGCAUCCAACCAGUAGAGGACGGAGUAGGUACCCCAGGCUGUCAGUCAAUAGGAUCUGCCCUGCUCGGGAAGAACUGAUCCCGAAAUAAGGACUGACCCUGGCGGACAGCAGAGAACACAUAGCUGGGGGUGCCCAGACCCGAUCCUGCACCAUUCCUGGAAACAUCAUCCCGGCUCGGCAUCUUCCUUCCUCCAUCCCCGGCAGCGGGUAAUCCCACGCUAUCUCCCGCGGAGAACUGCCCUCUAACUUCGGCGCCGCCUCCAGGUCUGCUUGCACGGCUGUGGGCAGGAUGGGGGUUGCAGCAUCUCUCCUCUGCUCCGGGGGCAGCCAGCUCAUUCCUCUUCCUUCUCCCACGGCCGAGCCCCUCGCUGGAGCCUCUUUGGCACAGCCUCUACGCGAUGUCCUGCCAGAGGCGGAGAGCCCUUCCCGGAGCGCCUGAGCGCUGGGUGAGCUCCAGCACCGCGGACAGCUCCCCGGCGGCCCGAGAUCCAGCACCGCGGACAGCUCCCCGGCGGCCCGAACCCCAGCACCGCGGACAGCUCCCGGCUGCUGGAGUGCCAGGGCUAGAGCGCGGGGUGCCGUCGGGCCCGCGGAAGGGACAUCAGAGCUCCGCUCCGGACCCGCUUCGUGCCUUGGUGCCCCGGUUUAUUGUGUAUUGCUGGCAGCCCUGUGCUGUAGCGGCACGCUGCUCUGCCGAGAAGGACGCCGAGAGAUACAUGCAGGCACGCUACCACCCUCCUCUCUCACGAGCCAGAAGGGGGCUUAUCUCUGGGCUCAGAGUCUGUUUGGCUUCGGUGGAUCAGGAUUUACAAGCCUGGAUGGUGCAUGGUUGCAGUGUUGUAUAAGUCUACAGACCCCGAGGUGCGCUACAGAGUUAGAAAGAAAUAUCGAAUCUGUCGCACUGUGGAGGGGUAAAAUAAAUCCUAUACAACCAUCAAAACCAGCCCAAACCUUCCUGCCUCCCUGCAACCAACUUUACCCCCAGCCCUCCCAGUCUUGCAACUAUUUCCUCCUUUCCUCCUCCUUCCGUGCUCCUUCCUUUGGAAACUGUAGGAUGAGACAUUUUCUUCUAUCAGUCUCAGGGUAAAAACAUAAGCUGGUGGCAGCAACACACGUCUGUCAGGGACUGAAAGGUUUUAAUCCAGCCUCUACUGCAAUCAACAAUGGCAAAUGAACCAGUGAUUCUGAAUGUUUAUGACAUGUACUGGAUAAAUGAAUACACCUCCACCUUGGGGAUUGGUGUCUUCCACUCUGGCAUCGAGAUCUACGGCAGAGAGUUUGCCUAUGGAGGGCAUCCCUACCCUUUCAGUGGGAUUUUCGAGAUCACACCUGGCAGUGCAGUAGAACUUGGCGAGACCUUUAAAUUCAAAGAAUCUAUUGCCUUGGGCACUACAGACUUCACAGAAGAGGAUGUGGAUAAGAUUAUGGAAGAGCUGGGCAAGGAGUACAAAGGCAACGCAUACCACCUGAUGCACAAGAAUUGCAAUCACUUCUCUGCUGCUCUGGCUGAGAUACUGUGCGGGAAAGAGAUCCCUCGCUGGGUGAACCGCCUGGCCUACUUCAGCUCAUGCAUACCCUUCCUCCAGAGCUGCCUCCCCAAGGAGUGGCUGACUCCAGCAGCCCUGCAGAGCCACAUCAGUCUCGGUCUCCACAAGGAGGAGCAGGGGGACACAACAGAUGAGGAGUCCCCCUCCACCUCUGCAGCCCCCUCAGCCUCAGGCAUAUCGCGAACAUGUAGACAUACUCGAGUCUAAACUGUGCCCAGUAUGCCCUCAGAUAACAUCGUCCUCUCUCUUGUACUAUUUCUUUCUCACACCUUUUUGCACACCUUAGUUUCUCUCUUCUCUUCUUCAAUGGACAACACAAGGGAAGGAAGAUCCUUUCUACUAAGGAGGUGAAGCUUCUGUCCCUUUUCCAAGGGCUGCCGCUACAGUUGCUUCGCAAAAUUACUGGGAACCCUAAUGCUGAACUGAGGACCAUGGCAACUAAACUGGAUUCUCCUCCCAGGGUCUCCAUGCUCCUCGAUCCAUGGAGAACUGCUGUCUGUCUUGGGCAUAAGAGCUUGGGUAUGGACAGGAGAGAACCAUACUGUGAGGUUCCUUCUCUGGAACUCUUCUACCUUUUUAUCUCUUCCCUCACCCAUGUGACUCUGGCAGCCUCCUCUCUAUUUUAGCUGGGUUUGCCAUUCCCCUAAGACAAAUCUCCUGUCUAUACCCAGUGAAGGAAGCAGAGCCAGAAACUCAACCUUCUCAUCUCUUAGACCAGCAACAAUCUCCACUCAGACCCAUCCCUUUUGUAAUUACCAGGUUUCUAACUCAUGUGAAGGACAAAUGAAAGCUGUAUCUUGUUGGAGGAUCUUUUGGACUCCGUGAGUUUGCUCAGAUAAGAUAUGAUGUCCACAAGCUUCAUGGCAAGUUCAUGUUGGCCUGAGUCUAAAGUCUAAUGAAGACAAACAAACUUUGGCUAAUUUCCUUGUGUUGAUCCAGCUUUGAAAGAAAAACUAAAACAGAGCACUGUGACACUGGAAUCUGAAUAUGAGAAGCUGGAAAAGUCUGACUUGGAUAACUGGGAGAACAUCAGAGGACCCCGUCUGUGGGAGGAUUCCAGGACUGUUCA